GGGACCAACCUCGCCCUAGAAGGGACCGGGGGAACAAACAACUACGAAAGUAGUUGACUAACUACCGCAUGUGUAUCGGAAUGGCAUCAUUCAGGAUACAAAGCCUUCGGGCACUUCAGGAUGGGCCCGCGGCCUAUCAGCUAGUUGGUGAGGUAACGGCCCACCAAGGCUUCGACGGGUAGCUGGUCUGAGAGGACGAUCAGCCGGAUUGGGACUGAGAUACGGCCCAG
rnacentral:rRNA from 1 species